AUGAACGCUGGCGGCGUGCUUAACACAUGCAAGUCGAACGAUAAAGCCCAGCUUGCUGGGUGGAUUAGUGGCGAACGGGUGAGUAACACGUGAGUAACCUGCCCUUAACUCUGGGAUAAGCCUGGGAAACUGGGUCUAAUACCGGAUAGGAGCGUCCACCGCAUGGUGGGUGUUGGAAAGAUUUAUCGGUUUUGGAUGGACUCGCGGCCUAUCAGCUUGUUGGUGAGGUAAUGGCUCACCAAGGCGACGACGGGUAGCCGGCCUGAGAGGGUGACCGGCCACACUGGGACUGAGACACGGCCCAGACUCCUACGGGAGGCAGCAGUGGGGAAUAUUGCACAAUGGGCGCAAGCCUGAUGCAGCGACGCCGCGUGAGGGAUGACGGCCUUCGGGUUGUAAACCUCUUUCAGUAGGGAAGAAGCGAAAGUGACGGUACCUGCAGAAGAAGCACCGGCUAACUACGUG
rnacentral:rRNA from 1 species